GAAAUGCGAUAAGUAGUGUGAAUUGCAGAAUUCAGUGAAUCAUCGAAUCUUUGAACGCACAUUGCGCCAUUUGGUAUUCCUUAGGGCAUGCCUGUUCGAGCGUCAUCUAAACCUUCAAGCCCUGCUUGGUGUUGGGUGCCUGUCCCGCCUCCGCGCGCGGACUCACCUCAAAUCCAUUGGCGGCCCCCGCGUCGGCCACGAGCGCAGCAGAAACGCGAACUCGUGAGCCCGUCCGGGCGGCUCCCAGAAGCUACACCCACCCAGUUUGACCUCGGAUCAGGUAGGGAUACCCGCUGAACUUAAGC
rnacentral:misc_RNA from 1 species